rnacentral:rRNA from 1 species
GAUCCUGGCUCAGGACGAACGCUGGCGGCGUGCCUAACACAUGCAAGUCGAACGGAAGCAAAGAUUUCGGUUUUUGCUUUAGUGGCGAACGGGUGAGUAACGCGUGAGGAACCUGCCUUUCAGUGGGGGACAACAGUUGGAAACGACUGCUAAUACCGCAUAAUGCUUUUUGAUGGCAUCAUUGAAAAGCCAAAGAUUUAUUGCUGAAAGAUGGCCUCGCGUCUGAUUAGCUAGUUGGUGAGGUAACCGG